AAUUUUGUACAGUGGCAGUGUCGUAGCCAAUGAGAUUUAUCUGAGGCGUGAUUAUUGCUAAUUGAAACA
rnacentral:snRNA from 1 species